rnacentral:rRNA from 1 species
GAUGAACGCUGGCGGCGUGCCUAAUACAUGCAAGUCGAGCGAACGGACGAGAAGCUUGCUUCUCUGAUGUUAGCGGCGGACGGGUGAGUAACACGUGGAUAACCUACCUAUAAGACUGGGAUAACUUCGGGAAACCGUAGCUAAUACCGGAUAAUAUUUUGAACCGCAUGGUUCAAAAGUGAAAGACGGUCUUGCUGUCACUUAUAGAUGGAUCCGCGCUGCAUUAGCUAGUUGGUAAGGCAACGGCUUACCAAGGCAACGAUGCAUAGCCGACCUGAGAGGGUGAUCGGCCACACUGGAACUGGGACACGGUCCAGACUCCUACGGGAGGCAGCAGUAGGGAAUCUUCCGCAAUGGGCGAAAGCCUGACGGAGCAACGCCGCGUGAGUGAUGAAGGUCUUCGGAUCGUAAAACUCUGUUAUUAGGGAAGAACAUAUGUGUAAGUAACUGUGCACAUCUUGACGGUACCUAAUCAGAAAGCCACGGCUAACUACGUG